rnacentral:tRNA from 1 species
GCUUUCUUAGCUCAAUUGGUUAGAGCUACCGACUCUUAAUCGGAGGGUUAUAGGUUCAAGUCCUAUAGAGAGCA